UACGGAGGGGGGCUAGCGUUGUUCGGAAUUACUGGGCGUAAAGCGCACGUAGGCGGGUCCUUAAGUCAGGGGUGAAAUCCCGGAGCUCAACUCCGGAACUGCCUUUGAUACUGGGGAUCUUGAGUCCGGAAGAGGUGAGUGGAACUCCGAGUGUAGAGGUGAAAUUCGUAGAUAUUCGGAAGAACACCAGUGGCGAAGGCGGCUCACUGGUCCGGUACUGACGCUGAGGUGCGAAAAGCGGUGGGGAGCAAACAGGG
rnacentral:rRNA from 1 species